CCUACGGUGUGCUGCAGUGAGGAAUAUUGGUCAAUGGACGAGAGUCUGAACCAGCCAAGUAGCGUGAAGGAUGACUGCCCUAUGGGUUGUAAACUUCUUUUAUAUGGGAAUAAACUGUUCCACGUGUGGGCUUUUGUAUGUACCAUAUGAAUAAGGAUCGGCUCACUCCGUGCCAGCAGCCGCGGUAAUACGGAGGAUCCGAGCGUUCUCCGGCUUUAUUGGGUUUAAAGGGAGCGUAGGUGGAUUGUUAAGUCAGUUGUGAAAGUUUUCGGCUCAACCGUAAAAUUGCAGUUGAAACUGGCAGUAUGGAGUACAGUAGAGGUGGGCGGAAGUCGUGGUGGAGCGGUGAAAUGAUUAGAUAUCACGAAGAACUCCGAUUGCGAAGGCAGCUCACUGGACUGCAACUGACACUGAGGCUCGAAAGUGUGGGUAUCAAACAGGAUUAGAUACCCAAGUAGUC
rnacentral:rRNA from 1 species